rnacentral:misc_RNA from 1 species
GAUGAAGAACGUAGCGAAAUGCGAUAAGUAAUGUGAAUUGCAGAAUUCAGUGAAUCAUCGAAUCUUUGAACGCACAUUGCGCCCGCCAGUAUUCUGGCGGGCAUGCCUGUUCGAGCGUCAUUUCAACCCUCAAGCACAGCUUGGUGUUGGGACUCGCGUUAAUUCGCGUUCCCCAAAUUGAUUGGCGGUCACGUCGAGCUUCCAUAGCGUAGUAGUAAAACCCUCGUUACUGGUAAUCGUCGCGGCCACGCCGUUAAACCCCAACUUCUGAAUGUUGACCUCGGAUCAGGUAGGAAUACCCGCUGAACUUAAGCAUAUCAAAAGCGGAGGA